rnacentral:rRNA from 1 species
GAACGAACGCUGGCGGCGUGGCUAAGACAUGCAAGUCGUACGGACCACAGUAGCAAUAUUGUGGUUAGUGGCGGAAGGGUGAGUAAUGCAUGGGUAACGUACCUUGGACUCAGGGAUAACGGCGGGCGCAAGCCCUUUAGCGAAAGUGCCGCUAAUACCUGAUGAAAUCACUGGAGUGCAUGCUUUGGUGAUCAAAGCCGGGGACCCGCAAGGGCCUGGCGGUCUCUGAGCGGCCCAUGUCCUAUCAGCUAGUUGGUGAGGUAACGGCUCACCAAGGCAACGACGGGUAGCCGGACUGAGAGGUCGGCCGGCCACAUCGGGACUGAGACACUGCCCGGACACCUACGGGUGGCUGCAGUAACGAAUAUUGGGCAAUGGGCGCAAGCCUGACCCAGCGACGCCGCGUGCAGGAGGAAGUCCUUCGGGAUGUAAACUGCUGUCAGGGGCUAGCAAGCAAUGCGAUUGAAUACGUCGCAAAGUUGAGCAGCUCCAGAGGAAGCCUCGACUAACUCUGUGCCAGCAGUCGCGGUAAGACAGAGGAGGCAAGCGUUGUUCGGAAUCACUGGGCUUAAAGCGCGUGUAGGCGGCUCGGUAAGUGUCGUGUGAAAUCCCAGGGCUCAACUCUGGAACUGCACGGCAAACUCCCGGGCUUGAGGCCGGUAGAGGUGCCUGGAACUCUCGGUGGAGCGGUGAAAUGCGUAGAUAUCGAGAGGAACGCCGGAAGCGAAAGCGGGGCACUGGGCCGGUUCUGACGCUGAGACGCGAAAGCGUGGGGAGCAAACAGGAUUAGAUACCCUGGUAGUCCACGCCGUAAACGAUGCACACUGGACGUUGGGCCCUCUGACGGGACCGGCGUCGUAGCAAAAGUGCUAAGUGUGCCG